CAAGUGUCACGUGCUAUAAAACACAAGCUCUAUGUGACGUCUGGGAGCAGAUUUUCCUCCUGCCUGUGACAGUGAGGAUGAGGCAUGAAGAGGCACAAUGCAAUUCUGCAGCAAAGUUCCCAGCUGUCAGUGUUGCUCUUGUGUUAUUAAUGAGUCUAGGGGCCCCGGUCCCCAUGGCAACACUUUGCAUACUGUAUGAUGAAACAAAUGUAGCAUUUUGUAAUUUUCAAGAGAACCAAAACAAGGGCUUCUCUCUUUCCCACCUCUGGUCCACAGUCAGUGACACCUAUUGGGGAUGGCUGGAUAUUGCAUGAACAAGAUGAAGUCCGAUGGCCCAUGCUACAUCAUGUUGAGCAGACCCAUACUGAUGCAGAUGCCCAGGAGGACAACAGUAGAGACAUCUAUUUAUGACAAUGGAGCAUCGUUACCAAGUACGCUGGGACCCUGCAAUGAUGGUGGGGCUACUGCUGGUUCCUUGUUAGAGAGACCAAUGAGACACUGUACAAACGGAAAGCAUCAACAUCCUAUUUCCCUACAGCAAAGUCACUUUACAUAAUUACAUUUUAUCUUUUAUUAACAAUUACAUUACGGCUAUUUUGAA